AGUAAGAUCAAAGAGUGCUUGAAGAAAGUUGCUGAAACAAUUUCUGUGCUCAUACAACCUGGAGAAUCAUUUUUGCUUCUACUCACAGGUGAAGUGCAGAGAGAAAGGACAGCCGAGAUAUUGGGAUUGCAUCCUUGUGGUUUCAGACCUCAGCACUCAAGCAAACUUGGAAAUGAGUUUAGGCUAUUCACAAACUAUGACCUUGGAACAAGACUAGGAGGGUGGAAAAGAUAGGUAUUUAUGUCCCAGUAGCUUCUCACACACUGAAUUAUCUCAUGUAUGCUAUAGAUUUUGUCUUGAUAUAGUUGUGGUCAGUUCCUGGUUAUGCACUAGGAAGAUGAAAGAGUUGGAAUCUGGUUCACAAUGCUUCAGUUUGCCGAUUUCACAUUGUUUGGCACCAAUGAAGCUGGUUUUCUUAAAAUGAUGAUCAAAUACAAACGAAUAUUUUCU